UACGAGAGCUUCAAGCGUUAUCCGGAAUCACUGGGCGUAAAGGGUGCGUAGGCGGUUAUGUUAGUCGUUCGUUAAAUCCCCGAGCUUAACUUGGGGAACCGCGAGCGAAACGGCAUUGACUAGAGAGUGUGAGAGGUGUACGGAACUUAUGGUGUAGGGGUGAAAUCCGUUGAUAUCAUAGGGAACACCAAAUGCGAAGGCAGUACACUGGCACACAUCUGACGCUCAAGCACGAAAGCGUGGGUAGCGAAUGGGG
rnacentral:rRNA from 1 species